CCGAUGACAGGUGGUGCAUGGUUGUCGUCAGCUCGUGUCGUGAGAUGUUGGGUUAAGUCCCGCAACGAGCGCAACCCUUAUUGUUAGUUGCUACGCAAGAGCACUCUAGCGAGACUGCCGUUGACAAAACGGAGGAAGGUGGGGACGACGUCAAAUCAUCAUGCCCCUUAUGUCCUGGGCCACACACGUACUACAAUGGUGGUCAACAGAGGGAAGCAAUACCGCGAGGUGGAGCAAAUCCCUAAAAGCCAUCCCAGUUCGGAUCGCAGGCUGCAACCCGCCUGCGUGAAGUUGGAAUCGCUAGUAAUCGCGGAUCAGCAUGCCGCGGUGAAUACGUUCCCGGGCCUUGUACACACCGCCCGUCACACAUGAGAGUCGGGAACACCCGAAGUCCGUAGCCUAACCGCAAGGGGGGCGCGGCCGAAGGUGGGUUCGAUAAUUGGGGUGAAGUCGUAACAAGGUAGCCGUAUCGGAAGGUGCGGCUGGAUCACCUC
rnacentral:rRNA from 1 species